rnacentral:rRNA from 1 species
CCUACGGGUGGCAGCAGUGAGGAAUAUUGGUCAAUGGGCGCGAGCCUGAACCAGCCACGUAGCGUGAAGGAUGACUGCCCUACGGGUUGUAAACUUCUUCUAUAAAGGAAUAAAGUGAGGCACGUGUGCCUUUUUGUAUGUACUUUAUGAUUCAGGAUCGGCUAACUCCGUGCCAGCAGCCGCGGUAAUACGGAGGAUCCGAGCGUUAUCCGGGCUUAUUGGGUUUAAAGGGGGCGUAGAUGGGUUGUUAAGUCAGUUGUGAAAGUUUGCGGCUCAACCGUAAAAUUGCAAUUGAUACUGGCAGUCUUGAGUACAGUUGAGGUAGGCGGAAUUCGUGGUGUAGCGGUGAAAUGCUUAGAUAUCACGAAGAACUCCGAUUGCGAAGGCAGCUUACUAAACUGCCACUGACAUUGAUGCUCGAAAGUGUGGGUAGCAAACAGGAUUAGAUACCCGGGUAGUC